rnacentral:rRNA from 1 species
AGCGAACGCUGGCGGCAGGCUUAACACAUGCAAGUCGAGCGGGCACUUUCGGGUGUCAGCGGCGGACGGGUGAGUAACGCGUGGGAACGUGCCCUCUGGUUCGGAAUAACACAGGGAAACUUGAGCUAAUACCGGAUACGCCCUUUUGGGGAAAGGCUUGCUGCCGGGGGAUCGGCCCGCGUCUGAUUAGCUAGUUGGUGAGGUAACGGCUCACCCAGGCGACGAUCAGUAGCUGGUCUGAGAGGAUGAUCAGCCACACUGGGACUGAGACACGGCCCAGACUCCUACGGGAGGCAGCAGUGGGGAAUAUUGGACAAGGGGCGCAAGCCUGAUCCAGCCAUGCCGCGUGAGUGAUGAAGGCCUUAGGGUUGUAAAGCUCUUUUAUCCGGGACGAUAAUGACGGUACCGGAGGAAUAAGCCCCGGCUAACUUCGUG